AUUGAACGCUGGCGGCAGGCCUAACACAUGCCAGUCGAGCGGAUGAAGGGUGCUUGCUCCUGGAUUCAGCGGCGGACGGGUGAGUAAUGCCUAUGAAUCUGCCUGGUAGUGGGGGAUAACGUCCUGAAACGGGCGCUAAUACCGCAUACGUCCUGAGGGAGAAAGUGGGGGAUCUUCGGACCUCACGCUAUCAGAUGAGCCUAGGUCGGAUUAGCUAGUUGGUGGGGUAAAGGCCUACCAAGGCGACGAUCCGUAACUGGUCUGAGAGGAUGAUCAGUCACACUGGAAGUGAGACACGGUCAAGACUCCUACGGGAGGGAGCAGUGGGGAAUAUUGGACAGUGGGCGAAAGCAUGAUCCAGCCAUGCCGCGUGUGUGAAGAAGGUCUUCGGAGUGUAAAGACCUUUAAGUUGGGAGGAAGGGCAGUAAGUUAAUACCUUGCUGUUUUGACGGUACCAAGAGAAGAAGCACCGGCUAACUUCGUG
rnacentral:rRNA from 1 species